AGGGCUGAGCCACUCUGUGUUGUGGGUGGGCUUGUGCACUCUGUCAGCACUGGCAAGGCCUCAAGGGCUGAUGAGAUAGCCAGCAGCCUCCAACCUGCAAGAGAAAGCAAACAUUUUUGCUAGUAGAAGAGACAGGGCUGUCACAGAAAGAACAGAGAGGUCAAAACAUGAACCUAGUGAAAUUCUAGCUCCUGUUUCCCCUAGAUUAAGGUGCCAUACGAGCAGCACUUUCUAACUUUUCCCCAGGCAGGAAGAAGGGAAGGACAGUGUCACAUUCAAACUAUCUGUCAGCUUGUGAUUCCCCUGCAAUCUCAUCACCUCCUGCAGGGAAGGUGAGCUCUGCCAGCCAGCUUCUCCAUCACUGUAGAUUUGCCACUGGCAAGCCAUCAUUUCUAUUUGCUUAGCGUUUGACACCUUUCCAAACUGUGGAAGCUGCUCUCUGUCCUGAAGAGAGCAGGGCAUCUGGGUGGAACAGCUUUUCACUACAUUAACUCCCUUCCUCAUGCUAGCCAAAUGCUGAUCUCAUCCUCUGGCUGUGCAUUGCCCCAUGUGUCCCUGCAGCAUCAGACACAGACUGAGGAGAAACAACGGCCUUGCUGGUUGCCCCAUCCCUUGCUGCUGGUGGCCACAGAGAGACCAGUAGUGAAGAUUCUUCACCAAACAGCAAAUUAACACAAGGCUUCAUUUACCUUUCUCUUUUAGUCCUCAUUAUCCAUUAAAAUCACAUUUAGAGCCCAAAUAAGACUUCAUAUCCAGGCAAAGUUGCCAGCCGUGUCUGUGAAAGCCUUUUUGAGCUGCUCUCCACUGAGCAUAAGCAUUAUAUGCAACAGAUCUGUGCAUGGACAGAAAGAUCUCAGCUGCUCAAGGGCAGAUACUUGUCUUGACAGAAGAAAGGUGGCCCCUGCCAGCAUACACACAUCUAUUCCCUCCCAGCAUUUCUCCUUCCUUCUGUUAACUGGCAGCAAGUUCACUGCUGGUUUCUGAGGAUCAAAGAUCCGUGUGAUCUGCAUCUCUCCUGCUCAUGGCAUUUAAGGCAGGGUGCCAGGAGGCUGAAGCAGCCAGGGCAACACACUUGAUCACAGACCCAUUGAAAUUACCUGAGAGAGUUAAUCCUCUCUCUAGUAAGCGGAUGUGUUUUGUGCAAGGGAUUCUUUUAGGAGAGCUCAGGAGUCCAGAGGUCUCUUUGUCCUGACACUCCCACACCAUUGCAAGGUGUUAAUCAUUAAGCUGGACAAGCUUCUCAACAGCUCCUCUGGGUCUGAAUCUCCCUUCUUUUGCUGCAGGGACCCAAAGAAUCUACAGAAAAAUCCUCUACACAGCUUCUCAGACAUUGAAACUUGAGCACACUCUGAAAUCUUGGUACAAGGGACUUGUAGGUGAUGGUCAGAAGAACUGGCUUUUCAACCACGAGGAGAUAGGAGAAAAAAAGACAGGGUGCCCUGACCACUUUGUUACCAGACUCUUAAACUUCAUGGCAGCUGAUGCUGCUGGCAGUUUAAACCACUGACCCCACUUCAAUGAGGGCCAGAGUAACUGCGCUGACCGAAGUGAAGUCAGCUGUGCACCACUCAGGAACUGAGAUAAGCAUCUCUGCUCCCAGCAGCUCUCUGAUUCACCUGGUGGCACAGAGCAAUUCAGAAGAAGGUGCUACAAAGCAGAGGUGCUGCACACCCCGGGUCACCUCAUCUGAGCUGCAAUACAGGAUUUGCAGGAAUGGCUGGAGAAGAAAAGCUUAAAAGGAGACAGGGAAGUUUAAGAAAAUAAAGCCCCAAAGUUUUUAACAGGC